AAGCCAAAUCUGAAGCAAAUACUAGCCGCUUCACACAGGCCUAUUGUAUACCAUAUAGCUUGCACUUAUUAAUACAUAAGUAGCUUAAGCUUUGCUUCUAAUGCGUAUUAAUAAUCUUGCUUCUGUUUCCUAUACAUGGUUACCUUUUAACUGGAAUUUUCUCUUCUGAGGUAAUCUUCUCAUUCUUAAGUGGUGGUAGGCUUCGCUCUAACUGGUUCUCUUUUGCCCAGACUAUUCAAUUUAGUUAGCCAACUUCCCAAUUUUUUUUUCGCUUUGAAGUCGGGGGGCAGUAUUUCUCCAUCUGCUCCUUUUCACUGGGUGCAAGUCUCAACCACAAUUCAAGCUAAGCACACAGCUUGAGCUAAGCCCAAAGGUCAAACCCAGGUCUGAAGGGCCCUGGGUCCCAACCGCGUCUUGCUGACAUCUCUGUGUAACAGUGUAAUCCACCUAAAGAAAACUGUAGACAUCAGUUGCCUGAUAAGGGUGAAUAAAUGAACCUCCUAGGAACAUCAAGCUAGUCUCCUGGGAUGUUAGUGAAGACCUGUUUAGCCAUGGAAGCCCUAUUUGUAAGGUCAGAAAGUGUCUCUACAGAAGGAGAGAGCCCUGUCUGAGUUCCUCUUUCCCUGUGUGUUUCUCUAGGCUGAACAGCAUACUACUAGUCAGGAAAUUCACUGCAACUUGGUUCUUAUCCAUUCCCUCAUUCCUCCAAAAUGGAGUGAAUGCUAAAUGGUGUGUUAAUGUCAGGAGGAUGAAUUAGUGUUUCCAGACAUCAUUGAAAAUAAGUGUGUGGGAAGGAGGAAGGGAGAGCUCAUCAAACUGCUGGGCCAGGAGCUGCUAUGAGAGUUUCCCUGACAGUGCAGGAGAAAGAUGGAUGGAUGGAUAUUAAUAGGAGACAACAUGGACAUCUCCUAGCUGGGAACAGAACAGCACAAGCCAUUCCAUUUCACCUGGUUUCUUCUGUUGAGAAGCUCUCCAUAACGGCAAGGAGUCCCAUCAACUAUGAGUUGCCAGGUGGUGAAAGAAGGUGGUAGAAGCAGCUCCAGAAGCAACCUAAUAAGCAAAUGCCACCUCUUUUUCCCAGCAGGCAGCUUGGAGAGGCUUUUUUUAAAAUCGAUUGUGCUGUCAUUGGUACUUGAGCUCAAGAGAUUAAAGCUCUCCCAGGUAUGUUGAUCACAUCUCUGGGUUUGAGUAGAUCAAUUCUUCCCCUGUCUGAAGGUCAGAUCCGUGGCGGGGUUCCAUUCCUUGGUGCAGGAAGGUCCAGCCAGCCUUGUGUUCCUCAUGCCAUCUCAAAGGUCUGUCCAGCACUGAAACUAAAGGCAUUGAAAGUCUUGCUCACUAUGCACAUGUGGGUCUGUAACCUGCACCUUUGUCAUUUAAUAAACUUACCUGGGGGUUCUUGUGUCUCAACUUUGUAUGGUACAUGUGGCCCAAUGAAGGACCUGCAACCUAUGUACAUUUGUCUGCCUCCUUGCAUAUACAACAUGGGUAAGUAGUCUAUAUUCCUAAUAAAAACCAGUCCUACCUGAUCUCUC